UACCAGCACCCCGAGUGGUCGGGACGUUUAUUGGGCCUAAAGCAUCCGUAGCCGGUUCUACAAGUUCUUCCGUUAAAUCCAGCUGCUUAACAGAUGGGCUGCGGAAGAUACUAUGGAGCUAGGAGGCGGGAGAGGCAAGCGGUACUCGAUGGGUAGGGGUAAAAUCCGUUGAUCCAUUGAAGACCACCAGUGGCGAAGGCGGCUUGCCAGAACGCGCUCGACGGUGAGGGAUGAAAGCUGGGGGAGCAAAC
rnacentral:rRNA from 1 species